rnacentral:rRNA from 1 species
UACAGAGACCUCAAGCGUUAUCCGGAAUCAUUGGGCGUAAAGCGUACCGAUAGGUGGUUUUGCAAGUCAGAUGUGAAAUUCCAAGGCUCAACUUUGGGACUGUCAUUUGAAACUGCACAACUAGAGGGGCAAAGAGGAAGCUGGAACGAACGGUGUAGUAGUGAAAUGCGUUGAUAUCGUUCGGAACACCGAUAGCGAAGGCAGGCUUCUGGGUGCCACCUGACACUUCUAGAACGAAAGCGUGGGGAGCGAAUGGG